UACGGGGGGAGCAAGCGUUGUUCGGAUUUACUGGGCGUAAAGGGCGCGUAGGCGGUCAGCACAAGUCAGUUGUGAAAUCUCCGAGCUUAACUCGGAAAGGUCAACUGAUACUGUGCGACUAGAGUGCAGAAGGGGCAACUGGAAUUCUCGGUGUAGCGGUGAAAUGCGUAGAUAUCAAGAGGAACACCUGAGGCGAAGGCGGGUUGCUAGGCUGACACUGACGCUGAUGCGCGAAAGCCAGGGGAGCAAACGGG
rnacentral:rRNA from 1 species